rnacentral:rRNA from 1 species
GACGAACGCUGGCGGCGUGCUUAACACAUGCAAGUCGAGCGGAAAGGCCCUUCGGGGUACUCGAGCGGCGAACGGGUGAGUAACACGUGAGUAACCUGCCCUAGGCUUUGGGAUAACCCCGGGAAACCGGGGCUAAUACCGGAUAUGACGUCUCACCGCAUGGUGGGGUGUGGAAAGUUUUUUCGGCCUGGGAUGGGCUCGCGGCCUAUCAGCUUGUUGGUGGGGUGAUGGCCUACCAAGGCGACGACGGGUAGCCGGCCUGAGAGGGCGACCGGCAACACUGGGACUGAGACACGGCUCAGACUCCUACGGGAGGCAGCAGUGGGGAAUAUUGCACAAUGGGCGGAACCCUGAUGCAGCGACGCCGCGUGAGGGAUGACGGCCUUCGGGUUGUAAACCUCUUUCAGCAGGGACGAAGCGUAAGUGACGGUACCUGCAGAAGAAGCGCCGGCCAACUACGUGCCAGCAGCCGCCGCCGUAA